GGUAGUGGCUCAGUGGUAGAGCACUUGCCUAGCAUGUGGGAGGCACUGGGUUCAAUUCUCAGCACCA
rnacentral:tRNA from 1 species